rnacentral:rRNA from 1 species
GAUGAACGCUGGCGGCGUGCCUAAUACAUGCAAGUCGAGCGAAUGAAGAGGAGCUUGCUCCUCAGAUUUAGCGGCGGACGGGUGAGUAACACGUGGGUAAUCUGCCUGUAAGACGGGGAUAACUCCGGGAAACCGGGGCUAAUACCGGAUAAUAAGAGGAAACGCAUGUUUCUUUUUUGAAAGUCGGUUUCGGCUGACACUUACAGAUGAGCCCGCGGCGCAUUAGCUAGUUGGUGAGGUAACGGCUCACCAAGGCGACGAUGCGUAGCCGACCUGAGAGGGUGAUCGGCCACACUGGGACUGAGACACGGCCCAGACUCCUACGGGAGGCAGCAGUAGGGAAUCUUCGGCAAUGGGCGAAAGCCUGACCGAGCAACGCCGCGUGAGCGAUGAAGGCCUUCGGGUCGUAAAGCUCUGUUGUUAGAGAAGAACAAGUACGAGAGUAACUGCUCGUACCUCGACGGUACCUAACCAGAAAGCCACGGCUAACUACGUGCCAGCAGCCGCAGUAAUAC